rnacentral:rRNA from 1 species
CAGCCGCCGCGGGAACACGGAGGGUGCAAGCGUUAAUCGGAAUUACUGGGCGUAAAGCAUGCGUAGGCGGUUCGUUAAGUCUGUUGUGAAAGCCCCGGGCUCAACCUGGGAAUGGCAAUGGAUACUGGCGAGCUAGAGCGUGUCAGAGGAUGGUGGAAUUCCCGGUGUAGCGGUGAAAUGCGUAGAGAUCGGGAGGAACAUCAGUGGCGAAGGCGGCCAUCUGGGACAACACUGACGCUGAGGCACGAAAGCGUGGGGAGCAAACAGGAUUAGAUACCCCCGUAGUCCCUGUCUCUUAUAC